AUUGAACGCUGGCGGCAGGCCUAACACAUGCAAGUCGAACGGUAACAGGAAACAGCUUGCUGUUUCGCUGACGAGUGGCGGACGGGUGGGUAAUGUCUGGGAAACUGCCUGAUGGAGGGGGAUAACUACUGGAAACGGUAGCUAAUACCGCAUAACGUCGCAAGACCAAAGAGGGGGACCUUCGGGCCUCUUGCCAUCGGAUGUGCCCAGGUGGGAUUAGCUAGUAGGUGGGGUAACGGCUCACCUAGGCGACGAUCCCUAGCUGGUCUGAGAGGCUGAUCAGCCACACUGGAACUGGGACACGGUCCAGACUCCUACGGGAGGCAGCAGUGGGGAAUAUUGCACAAUGGGCGCAAGCAUGAUGCAGCCAUGCCGCGUGUAUGAAGAAGGCCUUCGGGUUGUAAAGUACUUUCAGCGGGGAGGAAGGGAGUAAAGUCAAUACCUUUGCUCAUUGACGUUACCCGCAGAAGAAGCACCGGCUAACUCCGUGCCAGCCGCCGCAGUAA
rnacentral:rRNA from 1 species